GUCGUUAUUCCAUCAGAUGUGUCCAGAUGUGAUCAGUUAGUCGCUGAGGUAACGCCUCCUCCUAGGAGACGUUUCAUAGCUGGUCUGAGAGGAUGUCCCCCCACACUGGAACUGGGACACGGUCCAGAUUCGUACGGGAGGCAGCAGUGGGGAAUAUUGCACAAUGGGCGCAAGCCUGAUGCAGCCAUGCCGCGUGUGUGAAGAAGGCCUUCGGGUUGUAAAGCACUUUCAGCGGGGAGGAAGGCGUUAAGGUUAAUAACCUUGUCGAUUGACGUUACUCGCAGAAGAAGCACCGGCUAACUCCGUGCCAGCAGCCGCGGUAAUACAGAGGGUGCAAGCGUUAAUCGGAAUUACUGGGCGUAAAGCGCACGCAGGCGGUCUGUCAAGUCGGAUGUGAAAUCCCCGGGCUCAACCUGGGAACUGCAUUCGAAACUGGCAGGCUAGAGUCUUGUAGAGGGGGGUAGAAUUCCAGGUGUAGCGGUGAAAUGCGUAGAGAUCUGGAGGAAUACCGGUGGCGAAGGCGGCCCUCUGGACAAAGACUGACGCUCAGGUGCGAAAGCGUGGGGAGCAAACAGGAUUAGAUACCCUGGUAGUCCACGCCGUAAACGAUGUCUGAUUUGGAGGUUGUGCCCUUGAGGCGUGGCUUCCCGGGAGCUUAAACCGCC
rnacentral:rRNA from 1 species